rnacentral:tRNA from 1 species
GCCGUGACAGCUCAGCUGGUAGAGAAUCCGCCAGGUAUGCGGAACGUCGUCGGUUCGAUUCCGACUCGCGGCU